UACGUAGGUGGCAAGCGUUAUCCGGAUUUAUUGGGCGUAAAGGGAACGCAGGCGGUCUUUUAAGUCUGAUGUGAAAGCCUUCGGCUUAACCGGAGUAGUGCAUUGGAAACUGGGAGACUUGAGUGCAGAAGAGGAGAGCGGAACUCCAUGUGUAGCGGUGAAAUGCGUAGAUAUAUGGAAGAACACCAGUGGCGAAAGCGGCUCUCUGGUCUGUGACUGACGCUGAGGUUCGAAAGCGUGGGUAGCAAACAGG
rnacentral:rRNA from 1 species